rnacentral:rRNA from 1 species
GUAAAUAAUAAAGGGCGUAUGGUGGAUGCCUAGGCUCUCAGAGGCGAUGAAGGACGUGAUAAGCUGCGAAAAGCUCCGUUUAGGUGCAAAUAACCUUUGAUGCGGAGAUCUCCGAAUGGGAUAACCCAAUAUGUUGAAGACAUAUUAUACCGUAAGGUAGGCAAACGCAGGGAACUGAAACAUCUAAGUACCUGCAGGAGAAGAAAACAAACGUGAUUCCCCCAGUAGCGGCGAGCGACCGGGGAUAAGCCCAAACCGUUAUUGUUUCGGCAGUAGCGGGGUAGUAGGACUGCGACAUUGAUGAAAUAAAUGAAAUGGAACACCUUGGAAAAUGUGAUCACAGAGGGUGAUAAUCCCGUACAUGCAAGUUUAUGAAUCAUAGCAGACUCCUGAGUAAGUCGGGACACGUGUAAUCCUGACCGAAUCCGCCGGGACCAUCCGGCAAGGCUAAAUACUCCUGAGAGACCGAUAGUGAACCAGUACCGUGAGGGAAAGGUGAAAAGCACUUCGAACAGAAGAGUGAAAUAGUCCCUGAACCCAUACGCCUACAAGCUGUCGGAGCCGCUUCGUGCGGUGACGGCGUGCCUUUUGCAUAAUGAGCCUACGAGUUACUCAUCACCAGCGAGGUUAAGUACUUCAGGUACGUAAGCCGAAGCGAAAGCGAGUCUGAAUAGGGCGUCAAGUUGGUGGUGGUAGACGCGAAACCUUAGUGAUCUACCCAUGGGCAGGGUGAAGGUUUGGUAACACAAACUGGAGGCCCGAACCGGUAAACGUUGAAAAGUUUUCGGAUGACCUGUGGGUAGGGGUGAAAGGCCAAUCAAACUGGGAAAUAGCUCGUACUCUCCGAAAUGCAUUUAGGUGCAGCCUCUGUUGUUUUGUUCUAGAGGUAGAGCUACUGAUUGGAUGCGAGGGCUUCACCGCCUAUCAAAUCCGGCCAAACUCCGAAUGCUAGAACAUGAAGACAGGGAGUGAGCCAGCGGGUGCUAAGGUCCGUUGACGAAAGAGGGAGAACUCAGACCAUCAGCUAAGGUCCCCAAUUAUAUGCUAAGUUGGAAUUAAAACGGGGUGGGACUGCUUAGACAGCUAGGAUGUUGGCUUGGAAGCAGCCAUUCAUUUAAAGAGUGCGUAACAGCUCACUAGUCGAGCGGUCCUGCAUGGAUAAUACGCGGGCAUAAGCAUAUAACCGAAGCUAUGGGAUUGUAGAUGAUACAAUCGGUAGGAGAGCAUUCCAUUCAGCGUAGAAGCAGUAUCGUGAGGUAUUGUGGAGCGGAUGGAAAAGCAAAUGUAGGCAUAAGUAACGAUAAUGCGGGUGAGAACCCCGCACGCCGAAAGAUCAAGGAUUCCCCGGCAAUGUCAAUCAUCCGGGGGUAAGUCGGAUCCUAAGGGUAAGCCGAGUGGCGAUCCCGAUGGCAAACAGGUUAAUAUUCCUGUACUGAUCAUAACUGCGAUGCAGCGACGCAGAGGUGACACUGCUGCGUACUGACGGAAUAGUACGUUGAAACCCGUAUUCUUUGAUACCGGUAGUGAAGCACGCCGGUAGAGAUGAAAGGUGAUAGUACCGCAAUGCUUCGGUUGCGCGGAUAAUGCAGGUAAGCUGACUGCCAAGAAAACCUGCUAAGCUUCAGGUAAUGAUCAUCCGUACUGUAAACGGACACACGUGAUCAGGUAGAAAAUACUAAGGCGCUCGAGAGAUUCAUGGUUAAGGAACUAGGCAAAAUGGUCCUGUAACUUCGGGAUAAAGGACGCUCUUGUGAAAGAGCCGCAGAUAAUAGGCCCAGGCGACUGUUUACCAAAAACACAUGGCUAUGCUAAUUCGCAAGAAGAUGUAUAUGGCCUGACACCUGCCCGGUGCCGGAAGGUUAAGAGGAGAGCUCAGAGGCAACUCGAAGGUUUGAAUUGAAGCCCCGGUAAACGGCGGCCGUAACUAUAACGGUCCUAAGGUAGCGAAAUUCCUUGUCGGGUAAGUUC